rnacentral:tmRNA from 1 species
GGGGGCGACCAGGUUUCGACGGGGGCAUAGAAACCCGAGACGCGUGCCGAGGGCGUUCAGCACCUCGUAAAUCCGCUGGCAACAACACAAAAGCCAACGACAACGUUGAGCUCGCGCUCGCUGCCUAAACCCAGUUGAACGCGCGGUCUUCCUGCUCUCGACCCGUGGGGUGGGGUAAGGCCGUCAUAAUGCGGGGUGGUCAAUCCGGUUGUCUGGAACUGGUGCGACGAGAGCUGACCCAGAACAGGUGCGCAGGGAUCCCGCCCUCGGGAGCCCUGAACACCUAAAACAAAUCGGGGGCUACGCACGUAGGGUCGAAGGGUGGAAGGCUUUCGGACGCGGGUUCGAUUCCCGCCGCCUCCACAG